AGAUGAACGCUGGCGGCGUGCUUAACACAUGCAAGUCGAACGAUGAAGCCCAUCUUGCUGGGCGGAUUAGUGGCGAACGGGUGAGUACACGUGAGUAACCUGCCCUUGACUCUGGGAUAAGCCCGGGAAACUGGGUCUAAUACCGGAUAAGAGCGCCUGUCACAUGACGGGUGCUGGAAAGAUCUUUCGGUCAUGGAUGGACUCGCGGCCUAUCAGCUUGUUGGUGAGGUAACCGCUCACCAAGGCGACGACUGGUAGCCGGCCUGAGAGGGUGACCGGCCACACUGGGACUGACACACGGACCAUACUCCUACAGGAGGCAGCAGUGGGGAAUAUUGCACAAUGGGCGAAAGCCUGAUGCAACGACGCCGCGUGAAGGAUGACCGCCUUCUGGUUG
rnacentral:rRNA from 1 species